rnacentral:rRNA from 1 species
UCAUUAUGAACGCUAGCGGCAGGCUUAACACAUGCAAGUCGAGGGGCAGCAUGAAGUAGCAAUACUUUGAUGGCGACCGGCGGACGGGUGCGUAACGCGUAUGCAACCUACCUUAAACAGGGGGAUAACACUGAGAAAUUGGUACUAAUACCCCAUAUUAUUCGAGACGGCAUCGUCUUGGGUUGAAAACUCCGGUGGUUUAAGAUGGGCAUGCGUUGUAUUAGCUGGUUGGUGAGGUAACGGCUCACCAAGGCGACGAUACAUAGGGGGACUGAGAGGUCAACCCCACACAUUGGUACUGAGACACGGACCAAACUCCUACGGGAGGCAGCAGUGAGGAAUAUUGGUCAAUGGACGCAAGUCUGAACCAGCCAUGCCGCGUGCAGGAAGACGGCUCUAUGAGUUGUAAACUGCUUUUGUACGAGGGUAACAGCAUCUACGCGUAGGUGCAUGAAAGUAUCGUACGAAUAAGGAUCGGCUAACUCCGUGCCAGCAGCCGCGGUAAUACGGAGGAUCCAAGCGUUAUCCGGAUUUAUUGGGUUUAAAGGGUGCGUAGGCGGUUUUAUAAGUUAGAGGUUAAAUAUCGGAGCUUAACUCCGUUAUGCCUCUAAUACUGUAGGACUAGAGAAUAGUUGCGGUAGGCGGAAUGUAUGGUGUAGCGGUGAAAUGCUUAGAGAUCAUACAGAACACCGAUUGCGAAGGCAGCUUACCAAACUAUGACUGACGUUGAGGCACGAAAGCGUGGGGAGCAAACAGGAUUAGAUACCCUGGUAGUCCACGCAGUAAACGAUGAUAACUCGUUGUCGGCGAUACACAGUCGGUGACUAAGCGAAAGCGAUAAGUUAUCCACCUGGGGAGUACGUUCGCCAGAAUGAAACU